UACGUAGGGCGCAAGCGUUGUCCGGAAUCAUUGGGCGUAAAGCGCGUGUAGGCGGCUGGCUAAGUCCGCUCUGAAAGCCCGGGGCUCAACCCCGGGAGGCGGGUGGAUACUGGUCAGCUCGAGUCCGGAAGAGGAGUGUGGAAUUCCUGGUGUAGCGGUGAAAUGCGCAGAUAUCAGGAGGAACACCAAUGGCGAAGGCAGCACUCUGGGACGGUACUGACGCUGAGACGCGAAAGCGUGGGGAGCAAACAGG
rnacentral:rRNA from 1 species